rnacentral:rRNA from 1 species
UGGGGAAUAUUGCACAAUGGGCGAAAGCCUGAUGCAGCAACGCCGCGUGAGUGAUGAAGGCCUUCGGGUUGUAAAGCUCUGUCUUUUGGGACGAUAAUGACGGUACCAAAGGAGGAAGCCACGGCUAACUACGUGCCAGCAGCCGCGGUAAUACGUAGGUGGCAAGCGUUGUCCGGAUUUACUGGGCGUAAAGGAUGCGUAGGCGGAUUUUUAAGUGAGAUGUGAAAUACCCGGGCUUAACUUGGGUGCUGCAUUUCAAACUGGGAAUCUAGAGUGCGGGAGAGGAGAAUGGAAUUCCUAGUGUAGCGGUGAAAUGCGUAGAGAUUAGGAAGAACACCAGUGGCGAAGGCGAUUCUCUGGGCCGUAACUGACGCUGAGGCAUGAAAGCGUGGGUAGCAAACAGGAUUAGAUACCCUGGUAGUCCACGCCGUAAACGAUGAGUACUAGGUGUAGGAGGUAUCGACCCCUUCUGUGCCGCAGUUAACACAAUAAGUACUCCGCCUGGGAAGUACGAUCGCAAGAUUAAAACUGCAAAUGAAUUGACGGGGGUCAUAGCUGUUUUUCCU